UGGGGAAUAUUGCACAAUGGGGGAAACCCUGAUGCAGCGACGCCGCGUGAACGAAGAAGGUAUUCGUAUCGUAAAGUUCUGUCCUAUGGGAAGAUAAUGACAGUACCAUAGAAGAAAGCUCCGGCUAAAUACGUGCCAGCAGCCGCGGUAAUACGUAUGGAGCGAGCGUUGUCCGGAAUUAUUGGGCGUAAAGGGUACGCAGGCGGUUUAAUAAGUCGAAUGUUAAAGAUCGGGGCUCAACCCCGCAAAGCAUUGGAAACUGAUAGACUUGAGUAGUGGAGAGGAAAGUGGAAUUGCUAGUGUAGUGGUGAAAUACGUAGAUAUUAGGAGGAGUACCAGUAGCGAAGGCGACGUUCUGGACACGAACUGACGCUGAGGUACGAAAGCGUGGGGGGCAAACAGG
rnacentral:rRNA from 1 species